CCUACGGGAGGCAGCAGUGGGGAAUAUUGCACAAUGGGGGAAACCCUGAUGCAGCGACGCCGCGUGAGUGAAGAAGUAAUUCGUUAUGUAAAGCUCUAUCAGCAGGGAAGAAAAUGACGGUACCUGAGUAAGAAGCCCCGGCUAACUACGUGCCAGCAGCCGAGGUAAGACGUAGGGGGCAAGCGUUAUCCGGAUUUACUGGGUGUAAAGGGAGCGUAGACGGCAGUGCAAGGCUGGAGUGAAAGGCGGGGGCUCAACCCCCGGACUGCUCUGGAAACUGUACGGCUGGAGUGCAGGAGAGGUAAGUGGAAUUCCUAGUGUAGCGGUGAAAUGCGUAGAUAUUAGGAGGAACACCAGUGGCGAAGGCGGCUUACUGGACUGUAACUGACGUUGAGGCUCGAAAGCGUGGGGAGCAAACAGGAUUAGAUACCCCUGUAGUC
rnacentral:rRNA from 1 species